AGCAGCCAGAAGCAGCAAGGACCAGGCAGCUAAUCCCACAGCUAAUCUGCAGCUUGGGCCUUAUCUACACCGCCUUCUGGGCACCCAGCUUCUGCCAAGACCCCAGUACCUCCCGCUUAGCUACUUCUCUGUGGAUGGUAGCCCUUCUCCUUUAUCCCUCUGCCCUCCUCUGUGAGACCCACCCCUAUGCCUCCUUCUUAGGUGCCCUGGAAUGAACUCCCCUUCACCCUGCAGUACUCUGGCAUCCACUGUGGACCAAUAGUGGAUUCUUCUUCAUCCAGCCCUGACUAGCAUCUCCAGAGGGAGUGUGCCUAAGACAUGACUUUACUCAGGGGUGACCCAGGAUGCAGGCUCAGUGCUUCAUCCUCCUCUCGCCUCUCCAGGGGCAGAGGAAGAAACUCAACACAAAUUGCUUGGAUAUCUGUGCUGGUCAGAUGUUUGGGGUCACUCAGACCAACCCCCAGCCCCAUGACCCAUUGUGCAAAGGCUAAAUCAGAAACCAUGAGAUGCCAGUUCCCCAUCCAAGAACACACAAAUGAGAAGAUUCAGCAUCGCAACCCAGCCUGCCUCCCCAACUAGUGCCAGGAGGCUUUACUAAUUUUGUCCCCUCCCUGGGAGUCACUAGACAGACACUAAGUCCAGCAACCUGCAGUCUGAAUUAGUGAUUUUU
rnacentral:lncRNA from 1 species